rnacentral:tRNA from 1 species
UACUAUAUAAUUUAAAUUAAAAUAUUAGUCUUGUAAACUAAUAAUAAAUAGAAAUAUUUUAUAGUAA